ACCCACAGCCCAACAUGCUCUUGUUUGAACACCGACUGGCUGAAAGAGGAUGCUUGUUGCUCUGGCUGCUCCCAUCUGUGCUCAGAGCCCAGUCUAACGGGGAGGUGAAGCCCAGGUCCACGCUGUGCCAGCAGAGCCCCACAAAGGUGUCUUGCAAAGGAGUUGGUCUGCGCAAGUUUCCAAAGGAGCUUGGCCAAGGAGUUAAGUACCUUGAUCUUUCCAACAACUUCAUCCAAAACCUGUCAGGCAGUCUCAUGCCAGGGUUUGGGCAGCUUGAGUACCUGGACAUGUGCUUCAACCAGCUGGAAACUGUUUCAGCCACAACCCUGGCUCAGCUGCCCCAGCUGCGCUCUCUCCUCCUUGGAUCAAACCACCUGGACCUCAAUUACCUCACUAAUGGACAAGCCUUUCAUCUGCUCAGGAAUAUAGAGGUCCUGGACCUGUCGGCAAAUAACCUGGAGAGCCACAUGGCAGGCUGGUACGUCAGCAACCUCACCAAGCUGAGGAUGCUCGAUCUCUCCAGCAAUAAGCUGACCAGGCUGCCGGCAGGGAUCUUCUGGAGCACGCCACAGCUGCGCGAGCUCGACCUCAGCAACAACUACAUCAUGGAAAUCGAGGAGGGAGCUUUUGAGGCUCUGGAAGAGCUGGAGGUGGUGAACUUGGCUUUGAAUUCCCUCCACUGUAUCUCUGGCUUCAGCCUCACGCAGCUGCGAGUUUUAAAUCUCAGCCACAACGGCCUGGAGCUCUUCGUCUCGGAGGAGGGAGCAGAGCCCUACCUGCUUCAAGUGCUCGACUUGAGCCAUAACAGACUCCUCUCUUUUCCAGAGCUCCCCAAAGCCCAUUAUCUCACACACUUAAACCUCUCCAACAACCUUAUUGCUUCCCUGCUCCCAGGCUCACACCAUUCGGGGGAGUUUAUGCUGCGCUAUGAGGAGAUGGCGAAGUUUAAUAGGACUUUACAUCCCGUAGCCGGGCUGACACAUGUAACUGACUUGGAUCUCAGCAAUAACCGGCUCCAGCUGUUCCCAUUUCCCUUCUUCCACAGUCUGGGCUCUCUGCAGAACCUCAGCUUGGCUAGGAACUGUCUCCAGGAUGUAGUUGGAGAGUUGCUCGCCGGCGGCACGGAGUCCAGCAACCACUCAUCCCCACCGCCAGAGCAGGUCGCCCUCUCUGUGCGUUAUCUGGACCUCCACAGCAAUGCCAUCCAUGUGCUACCACCCUGGUUUUUCCAUUCUCUGCCUCAGCUGGAAACAGUCGAUCUGUGCUCCAACAGCCUCCAGCCUUGUGAGAACCAAGGGAGCAAGCAGGGAGGUGGAUCUCGUGUGCCAGCCCCAGGAGGCACCUGCACCCCCUUCUACAACGUGCCUCACUUGAAGCAUCUGAGCCUUUGCAGGAACAACAUCACCAGGCUGCACCCCGACACCUUCAACCAGACCUUGCUGCUCUCCCUAGACCUGUCGGGGAACAAGGACUUGUUCAUGCCUAAGGAAGCCCUGAGGGGGUUGGAGUUCUCCCUGCAGAAACUCUCUCUGAGGGGCAACCAAAUGGACAACAGCCAGGCACAGCUCCCCUGCCUGGACACGCUCAAAGUCUUGGACAUCUCAGGCAAUAAUUUGAGCCUUUUGCCCACAGGUCUUUUCUGCUCCCCGCUGGAAAGCUUGGACGUUCGCAAUAACAACCUGCCAACGUUGGAAAUGCCAGCGGUGGCCAGCUGGUCCCAUAGCCUUAAGGCUGUGUCCAUCGCUGGAAACCCCUUCAGCUGUUGCUCACUGGCCUGGCUGGACCUGCUGCAGGCGACCAGCGUGGGUGUGCAGGACCUGGAUGAAGCCUUCUGCUCCUACCAGGACAACAGCAGGAACUUCUCAGCCAAGAUAACCAACAGUCCUCGGUGGCUUUGUCCACGUCCCAAAGGCACCAGCUCUCUGGCUCUGCUCGUGGUCAUGCUGAGCCUUUUCUUUCUCAGCUCCGUGGCUUGCUGCCUUCUGAAGAAAGGGCAGAAGUCACCGGAGCAUGUGGGUCUCCACAGCAACAGGGUCUUCCCCCACCACCCCAAAAGAGAGCAACCAGCUGAGGCAAAGCCAGCAGAUAAUGUCACCAAAGUGUAGUCUAGCCAUGGGGAGCAGAAACUGUAGCAAUCAGUCAGAACUCUAAUUAUUAUUAUUAAUAUUAAUAAUUUUAUUGUAUUUUAAACCCCUUCCCCUCACCAGGAUCCUGUGUGUUUUGCAAACCCAAUAAAGGGAGUGUGGUUGGUGCUGAGCUCUGGGCUGGGGGUCUCUGGGCCACCUCUCCUUCUCGAGAAGGAAGGUGGCCCCAUCUGCUUCGUUCCCUGGAAGAAAUUAAAUGCUCUAUAAGCAGUUAGGGGUGAGUUUUUCUGCCCUGACAUCAAACAUUCCCAUCACCCAGGCCAAGAAACCAAGGCCUGGGCUGAGCUGGAUUAAUCUGCUCCCCCUGAACCCAUCACACUCUACUUGGGGAAAGGGAGUUGUCUCCAUUGGUGCCACCUGAGUGUUUUCACAGCUUUCCCAGCAGUCACUCUUUGCCUUUUAAGUGGGUUUAAUAGCUCAGUUAAAUACCUGCUCCUGCUCCUAAAGGCAUUCCCCAGCCCAGCGAGGAGCGGGCAGUGGCAGGGAAUGGUGCCUGUUGGUGGCUUGGGCAGUGGAGGUUUCUGCAGGAUCCUACGCACCUCUCUUCUGCCUUUUCCUGCCAAUCUGUCACCUCAAACGAUGCUGUGAAGUUGAUAGAGCUGAAAAAUGACCUUCGUGGGUGCAGGAAGGAAAUCUGCCUUCUCCUCACCCACUGAGACAGCAAGAAUGAGAGAAAACCAGUCUUGUGCUGUCCCUGGCUGACGCUGGGUCACGGGCUCUUUGAGGUGGGUGCUGGAUGUUCUCACCCUCAACGCCUGGACUCCUGAGUUGGUGGCAGCAGCUCUGUCUCCAUCACAGGGGAUGAGAGCCAGAACUUCAUCUGCUUCAAGAGCUGAAGAGUUUCCUGGUGGCUGGCUGGCAGAUACUGCUCCUUGAGCCACCCCUGCCUGGCAGAGUGGGGAGAGCUCUCCUCAUCCCAUGUUUAGACAGAGCGUAGAUGAUCCUAAAUCUCCCCAAUUCCAUUACAAGACAAUGCAGGACAACAUGUUCCAGGCUGUCACAAGGUGAGAAACCAUCGUUGCAGAGAACACUGUUUUCCUGCCCCUGCCAAGCACCUCCUGCCCUGGGUUUCACCUGCCAGAAGAGCUCAGCUUGAACCCACAAAGAUGCACAUGGAGACCUACCAUCCCUGGUCCCAGCUUUGGGACUUCUCUGGGCAGGUGCAUGGGAGCAACCUCGUGGUGACGGAGGAGAAGCCGUGGUACCAGGUGAAGCUGGAAGGCAGCACCGUGCGUAAGUGGCUCUGGAGGAGAUCAGCUGGCAGGAACAAGUCCUGGCAGGAACAAGUCCCCAUCGCCCCCAGCCUGCUUCUCAGUAUCCGUCCUGUGGUGAGGUCACUGACUCCACCACUACGUCAGAAAGAGGAAGGAGGACAGUUUCGCUAAAGGAAAGCAGCCCUCCACCACAGGACAGUCACCUGGCACCCAGGGUGGCCAUCACCAGCAUCCCCAACCUCCAGAGGUGACAGGAUGAUCCUAGGUGACCGCCCGCGGCAGGGAUCCUGUCCACAACCUCUGGGAUGUGGUGGGAGCUGGCUGGACCACAACGAGCUGCCCCCUCACCAAGACGUCGGUGCCACAUGACAGCAUGCUACCACCUCCUGCGUCACCACCACCCAGCGCUGUCACAGCCUCCCAGGCAAAAGGAUGUGGCUCCUCACGUGGUCGGUCAGUAGUCAUUGCAAAACUUUUCUGUGAAGAGGGACUGGUAAAAAUCACCUUCCGUAGAAGACAGCGGGCUCGAGCAGGGGAUUGACGUCAGAAAUCACUGGACACUGUUCCUGUGGUGACACUGGCUCACAGCCCAAAAGAAGGGGCUGGGGUGGUACUAAGCCCCUCUGUCCCAGCACUGGUCAUGGCUCUCAGCACCUGUGAAGCGAGGAGAUGCCUCCACCUGCCAGACCAUCCUCUCAUGUGUCCUCUCUGCAUUCCUGCUCUCCAGCAUCUUUUCCUGACUGUUGCUCGUGGCUUUUCCUAAAUCCCCUGAGAUCCCAGGUGCUCUCACCUUCCCAGCUGCCAUCUGAGCCCAGCAUGUACAGGUUACAGCAACCCAUCUGAGAUCCUCCAACUCCCAGACUAAGAUGUCAUCCACGCCUUGAGGAGUUUGCCUGAAAGCAAUAUGGUUAAUAGGGGGGAAAAAGUGACUUGUUGCAAUGUGAGAGUGGCCAGCACCCACACAGCAAGCAGGAGCAUGGUCAAAGCAGGUUCUCCAAGGACCUGAAGGAGAGAUGGUGGCCCUUAGAAGCAAAACCGCUGGCCAGAAGGUGGCAAUAUCCCCUCUCCUUUCUGGGCCUGACACCACGAAGAGCACAGAAGGGGUCAGCCCCUUGUGCAGGGGAUGGGUCCAUUUUGGUUUGGAAACUCUAACCCCACUAAACCUUUGGAUCGAACAGCUCGGGCAGCGGCAGGAUGCGGCGAGACUCAGACACAGACCAAUUUGAUCAUGCUGAAGCCCACGUUAUUGUUUUAACAAACUCUUGUAUAUCUUUCUUACAAACGUGUGUCCAUGUAUAAUUGGUUCACUUAAAGUCCAACAGUUCAUGAUUGGAUGACUUCCUCCUUCUUUGUUCUCUGCGGUAACUUCAGUAACUUUCCUCUGGUGGCAAUCUGACAGGUCCUUAAUCUUAUUUACUCCCUUCUUCUCCGGACUCUCAGGCCUCUUCAAGGAUACACAGAUGUCUGCACAAGGCCGAUGCUAAGGCUUCCACGGAUGAGCCAAGGUUUCCCCCAGCAGGACAAUGGUCCAUGGCCCACCCAGGUGGUGAGGUGUCCCUGAUAUCUAUGAAGCCUGCACUGACCAAAGUGGGUGCUGGUGGUGUCAAUGCCCCAGCGCUUACAGACAGUGGGGAGGAGAGGGUUUGACAGGGGGGAGGGCAAAGUCCUGCUUUGGGGAGAACGUUCCCAGGCACCAGUAUGUGCUAAGGCCACCCAGCUGGAAAGCAGCUUCACCCAGAUGGCAACCCCGACCUUCCUCUCCACCUGUGCAGAGACAGAGAUGCACUUUGCCCACCUUUGUGUCUCGCUCAGGACAGAUUAGGGGACUGCUGACCUUCCCGACCCCCUCGUCCAAAGUCCUCUGCAGGGUCUUGUUGUGCUGAUGCUCACUUUUUCUUGAGCUGUUCUAGGCAGCUGAUGAGAUAACGUUAGAAAUCAGGCCAGAGGGAUUAGCAUCUCCAGCAGAGCCUGUGUUCCCACUGAAACCUCCUCAUCCCUCAGCAGAGAUGUGGCACUGGGACACUUUGGAGUGACACCCAGCUCUUCCAGGCAGGCUGGAUGCAGGACACCCACUGCCAAGGAAUCCAGGACAGUGUGACUGGGAGGGACUGGAAGCCAUUGGGAACCCCUCCGUCCCUCUGGCUGGAGUCUGAAGGAGGAGGUGUCUGGUUAGAUGUGCCUUGCAACACAGGGUUGCCUUUGCUCAGCAAUUUCUGCCUUGCACGUGCUUGGUGAACCACUGCCCUCCCUCUGCCCACUGAGCACAUGAUGUGCAGAAAAGCACCCAGACACCUCCCAACACUGACAAAAGUAGCUUUUCCUGGUCGGAAAAUUCCUAAUCCCUCCAGAAGCUGUUCGGAUUUCUCCGCAAUGUCCCCCUUCAGGGCCCAAGGCAUUUCCCCAUUCCCCGAGGCUGAAAAGGGAACUUACAGAGAAUAUGAUUUCAUAAGAUCAAAAUCCUCAGGGUUAGAGUGAAAGGAGCCCUUGGGCUAGCACAAGGGAGAAGUGUGAGCUCCGUAUCUGUUUGCGGGUCCAAGUAAGAACAGGACCUGCAGAAGCCAUGAUUGGGAAGGUGGGACUUCAAAGAAAUAUCAGGGACUUCCAGAGCGCAGCGAGCGCCAGCAGGACUGAGCUGAGUCAAGAAAGGUGAAAGCUGAACUGUGACGCUGUGGUGAGACCAGUCUGACUUCAGUCUCACCAAACAUGACAAAUAACUUCAUGACAAAGGACUCCAGCUUUACCCCAGGCCUGGUAAGGUACCCCCUUCGCAGCAUGAAGCUGUUGGUCAUAGGGCUGAGUCCCAGGGUGCUGUCACCUUGUCCCACACAGCACCAACCUCUGGCCCCAACAGUGGGUGCUGCUUCAUGGGGCUUUUCUACCUCAGCCCUCAGGGUUCUGUGAUGUGAAUAAGCAAAUCCAUCACACCAGGGACUAGCUGUCAUUGCAGAGCCCUCAGUAGAAGUGGACCAGGUUCAGGGAUCAGGUUCGUCCCUGCCACAUGCCACCUGGGAUUGGAACGAAUGGCCCAGAGGGAGUUUGAUCUUACAUGGGACACCAGGACCCAGGUUUUAGUCUGCUCCCAGAGAAUAGCCUUCUCGUGGAGGUGGGUUCAUUGCUGAGGAGAUCACAUUGCCCCUGUGGAUGGAUGGAGUCUGCCCAGAUGCCUCUGCUUGACCUCCCUGGAGGCUUUAUGGAGCCCACCAGCAGCUGCCAAUGCCCUGACUGAGACGACAGGUCAGCGAUGGGGUUUUUCUGGGGCUGUGAAGUCGGUGUCCAGAGGCAGAAUUUCCCCACACUCAGCCUCCGGCUGGGUCUUCUCCAGGCUGGUGAGACCAGUGUCCACACCCUUGAGUGACAAAUACACAUCUGGAGCCUUGGUUAUUGCAGAGUCCUGGCUGUCCUGGUGGGACUCCGGAGACAAAGGAGGCAGAUGGCCAGUUACAGGGAUGGGGUUUCCCCUGCUGAGCAGAGCCUGGCAUCCACUUUGUGACCC